ACAAUCUUUGAAGUGCAAAAGUGUUGCACCUGGGAUGUUUGGGUAUGAUGUGAGGCCUCUUGCAGUGCUACAGUUGCUGGUGCUGCUGCCCUGCCACAGAGGAGAUCCAUCUGAUGGGCUGGGGAGCUGAGCAGGUCAUCUUCCCGUGACAUGGACUGCCAGCUGCAGCCCCAUGGAGCCAAAGUGGAGGCAGCAAGAACCUUCAGCGAGCAGCCUGCCAGUGCUGUCAGGAAGGGUCCAUUGCCCUGCAACCACCACAGGACUCCUCCAGGGCCUGACAUGCAACCAACUACAUACAGAAUGGUCCUCUGAAUUCAAAGAGCUGAAAAAGCUCAAGACUUCAUCUUGAGUAGUGUACGUCUCAGAAUGACCUUUGAUUUAAAAGAAGUCAUCCCACUUGGCUCAAGGAAAAAGUAUCUGGACUUCAAUGAGAAGAGGGCGCUGUGCUUGGCCGACCCCGCUCCAGCGCGGGCACCGUUGGCCGCCGUAGCUUGAGGAAGGAGGCGGGAGCCGCAGAGCCCCCCCUGGCUGACCCGUGCAGUACCCGG